rnacentral:rRNA from 1 species
AGCUCUGUAAGCGUAUAUCAAAGUUGUUGCAGUUAAAACGCUCGUAGUCGAAUUUUGGCGUGGUGCUUCUGAGACCCCUGAUUGGGUGUUGAAGGUAGUCCCGCCUUUGUGGAUGGGGGCGUGGUGGUUCUUUACUGAAUUGCUGCGUGUUCGCCACUGUUUACUGUGAAAAAAUUAGAGUGUUCAAAGCGAGCGAUUGCCAUGAAUACAUUAGCAUGGAAUAAUAGAAUAGGACCUGAUCCUGUUUUGUUGGUUUGUCAGUAUUGGGUAAUGAUUAAGAGGGACGGUCGGGGGCAUUUGUAUUCCAGGGUUAGAGGUGAAAUUCUUGGAUCCUUGGAAGACAAACAGCUGCGAAAGCGUCUGCCAAGGACGUUUUCA